AGAAAAAAUAGAAAAGGGAAAAAAAAAUUAUUUGGAAGAGAAUUUCAUUUGUUUCGUCUCUCUCUCUUUCUCUUGCGAUCGAAGUCCCGAAACGACAAAGGUUUGAAUUUGGAGUCGAAUGGUCUGGAGGAAGAGGAGAUUGCGGUCGGAGGAGAUCAAGGGGAAGAUGGUGUCGCCUAACGCAGAUUCUUCUUCUCUAUCAUAGUCGUCGUUGAAAUCAAGGGGAAGAUGGUGUCGCCAAAGAUCGCUCCGUCGAUGUUCUCAUCAGAUUUUGCUAAAAUCUUGCGGCGGAGGCUAAGGGAAUGGUGAAUUUGGGCGCCAAUUGGCUUCACAUGGACAUUUUGGUAACCCACCUUUAUUGCUUUCUUUGUUUAUUCAAAUCUGAACUUUUGAUUUUAGUCAAUAAAGUCACUUACUUGGUGAUCUAAAGGUUUCACCUUUGCUAUGAAUAUGAUAAAGUUGUGAAUCCGGAAUAGUGUACCAAGAACAGACUAGAUGAUGUGUUGAAUAAAUGUUGUGGAAUUCUAAUCUGAAGCUUGUAUCUCUGCUCUUAAUAUGAAACAACAAGAAUCUGCCUUUUUUUUUUCUUGUUCUGGACUUAUAUUAUGCUACACAACCUUUACUUGUUUUGUAUGAGGUGUCAGAAGCAAGGGAUUAAUCCAAAUGAAGACUCUUAUGAUAAGCUGUUUCAGUGCCUCUAUUACUCAAUUUCUAUGCCUAUAUUGUUAACUUGAAUUUUUGAAUCUGAUAACAUUUCACUUAUCAGAAUGCCCUGAACCAGUGUUGUGAAUUGUUCUUCGUACUGAGUAUUGAUUGAUUCUUGCAAGUUGAAUUCCAUAAUAGAUAAUUGUUCAUCAUGGUUCCAUCAUUCUCAUGGAUACAUAAAUGGUUGCAUAGGAAGAAACUGAUCUAUAUCGUAUCCCGACUAAGCAAAACAUGAGGCUGGCAUUGUAUUGGCUCGUACAGGGAUGCACAGCAGGCGACUCACUUUUCUUUCACUACUCGGGUCAUGGUUCCCGUCAAAGAAACUACAACGGUGAUGAAGUUGAUGGCUAUGAUGAAACACUCUGUCCCCUUGAUUUUGAAACUCAGGGGAUGAUUGUAGAUGAUUAGAUCAACGCUACCAUUGUUCGUCCUCUUCCCCAUGGUGUCAAGCUCCAUUCAAUUAUCGAUGCUUGCCAUAGUGGCACUGUCCUGGAUUUACCCUUCCUAUGUAGAAUGAACAGAGCUGGGCAGUAUGUGUGGGAGGAUCAUCGGCCUAGGUCAGGUUUGUGGAAAGGAACAGCUGGUGGGGAAGCCAUAUCGAUCAGUGGAUGUGAUGAUGAUCAGACUUCGGCAGACACAUCAGUAAGUCGAACGAAUCUAGUCAUACGCCUUCCAAUUGUAGUUGCUUCUUACAAUAUGUUGUAAAUUUCUUGUAAAUGUUAUGUAGUAGAAUACUGAAUUACAUUGAUUUUUUCCUCAUAUAGAUGUAAUCAUUGAUAUUCUA